rnacentral:rRNA from 1 species
GACGAACGCUGGCGGCGUGCUUAACACAUGCAAGUCGUACGGUAAGGCCCUUUCGGGGGUACACGAGUGGCGAACGGGUGAGUAACACGUGAGUAACCUGCCCACAACUUUGGGAUAACGCUAGGAAACUGGUGCUAAUACUGGAUAUGUGCUCCUGCUGCAUGGUGGGGGUUGGAAAGCUCCGGCGGUUGUGGAUGGACUCGCGGCCUAUCAGCUUGUUGGUGGGGUAGUGGCCUACCAAGGCGGCGACGGGUAGCCGGCCUGAGAGGGUGACCGGCCACUUUGGGGCGGAGCUACGGCCCCGACCCCUACGGGGGGCAGAAGUGGGGAAUCUUGCGCAAUGGGCGCCAGCCUGAUCCAGCAACGCCGCGUGCGGGAUGCCGUCCUUCGGGUUGGAAACCGCUUUCAGCAGGGACGAAGCUUUUUGUGACGGUACCUGCAGAAGAAGCACCGGCUAACUACGUG